GACGAACGCUGGCGGCAUGCCUAACACAUGCAAGUCGAACGGAGAUUAUUUCGGUAAUCUUAGUGGCGAACGGGUGAGUAACGCGUGGGCAACCUGCCCUCUAGAUGGGGACAACAUCCCGAAAGGGGUGCUAAUACCGAAUGUGACAGCAAUCUCGCAUGAGGAUGCUGUGAAAGAUGGCCUCUAUUUAUAAGCUAUCGCUAGAGGAUGGGCCUGCGUCUGUUUAGCUAGUUGGUGGGGUAACGGCCUACCAAGGCGAUGAUCAGUAGCCGGUCUGAGAGGAUGAACGGCCACAUUGGGACUGAGACACGGCCCAGACUCCUACGGGAGGCAGCAGUGGGGAAUCUUCCGCAAUGGGCGAAAGCCUGACGGAGCAAUGCCGCGUGAGUGAUGAAGGAAUUCGUUCCGUAAAGCUCUUUUGUUUAUGACGAAUGUGCAGAUUGUGAACAAUGAUCUGUAAUGACGGUAGUAAACGAAUAAGCCACGGCUAACUACGUG
rnacentral:rRNA from 1 species